rnacentral:rRNA from 1 species
GACGGGGGGUCCUAGCGUUGUUCGGAAUCAUUGGGCGUAAAGCGUGUGCAGGUGGUUGGGAAAGUUGGAUGUGAAAGCCCCGGGCUUAACCCGGGAAGGGCAUUCAAAACUACCUAACUUGAGUAUGGAAGAGGUUCGUGGAAUUCCUGGUGUAGUGGUGAAAUACGUAGAUAUCAGGAGGAACACCGGCGGCGAAGGCGGCGAACUGGUCCUAUACUGACACUCAUACACGAAAGCGUGGGUAGCAAACAGG